rnacentral:rRNA from 1 species
GUGGGGAAUAUUGGGCAAUGGGCGAAAGCCUGACCCAGCAACGCCGCGUGAAGGAAGAAGGUCUUCGGAUUGUAAACUUCUUUGAUCAGGGACGAAAGAAAUGACGGUACCUGAAGAACAAGCCACGGCUAACUACGUGCCAGCAGCCGCGGUAAUACGUAGGUGGCAAGCGUUAUCCGGAUUUACUGGGUGUAAAGGGCGUGUAGGCGGUUCUGCAAGUCAGAUGUGAAAUUCCCGGGCUUAACCCGGGCGCUGCAUCUGAAACUGCAGAACUUGAGUACUGGAGAGGAUAGUGGAAUUCCUAGUGUAGCGGUAAAAUGCGUAGAUAUUAGGAGGAACACCAGUGGCGAAGGCGGCUAUCUGGACAGUAACUGACGCUGAGGCGCGAAAGCGUGGGGAGCAAACAGGAUUAGAUACCCUGGUAGUCC